AAAAAUGUGAUAUUCCUAGACUGCUUGCACAUGGUACAUUCAAUGCCCAUACUUGGCAGAAGUUCAUAGAAGGUGAUGAAAUUUCGUAUUCUUGUGAGGUUGGAUAUGAUCCUAUAAAUCAACAAGCUAAGGCCGUGUGCACCAAAAAUGGCUGGUCACCUACUCCACGUUGUAACAUAAAAAGUAAGUGUUAUUUAUGGAAUCCAAUUUGACAAUAUAGAACCUGAGAACCUGGAGCCUGCCCUGUCCUGCUGUGAACAACCAGUACAUUAUAUUAUUUUCUUGGACUUCUCACAGUUGUAGGAAAGCUUAAGGGUGUGCAUGUUUGCAAAUCCCAUGCUGAUUUAAUAAUAAUAAUAAUAAUUUAUUAUUUAUACCCCACCCAUCUGGCUGGGCUUCCCCAGCCACUCUGGGCGGCUUCCAAAAUAAUAUUAAAAUACUGUAAUACAUCAAACAUUAAAAGCUUCCCUAAACAGGGGUGCCUUCAGAUGUCUUCUAAAAGUCUGGUAGUUGUUGUUCUCUUUGACAUCUGGUGGGAGAGCGUUCCACAGGGAGGGUGCCACUACCGAGAAGGCCCUCUGCCUGGUUCCCUGUAACUUGGCUUCUCGCAGUGAGGGAACCGCCAGAAGGCCCUCGGUGCUGGACCUCAGUGUCCGGGUAGAACGAUGGGGGUGGAGACGCUCCUUCAGAUAUACUGGACUGAGGCCGUUUAGGGCUUUAAAGGUCAGCACCAACACUUUGAAUUGUGCUCGGAAACGUACUGGGAGCCAAUGUAGGUCUUUCAAGACCAGUGUUAUAUGGUCUCGGUGCCACUCCCAGUCACCAGUCUGGCUGCCGUGUUCUGGAUUAGUUGUAGUUUCGGGGUCACCUUCAAAGGUAGCCCCACGUAGAGCGCAUUGCAGUAGUCCAAGCGGGAGAUAAGUAGAGCAUGCACCACUCUGGCGAGGCAGUCCGCAGGCAGAUAGGGUCUCAGCCUGUGUACCAGAUGGAGCUGGUAAACAGCUGCCCUGGACACGGAUUUGACCUGUGCCUCCAUGGACAGCUGUGAGUCCAAAAUGACUCCCAGGCUGCACACCUGGUCCUUCAGGGGCACAGUUACCCCAUUCAGGACCAGAGAAUCCUCCACACCUGCCCGCCUCCUGUCCCCCAAAAACAGUACUUCUGUCUUGUCAGGAUUCAAUCUCAAUCUGUUAGCCGCCAUCCACCCUCGAACCGCCUCCAGGCACUCACACAGGACCUUCACCACCUUCACUGGUUCUGAUCUGAAAGAGAGGUAGAGCUGGGUAUCAUCCGCAUACUGAUGAACACCCAGCCCAAACCCCCUGAUGAUCUCUCCCAGCGGCUGCAUGUAGAUGUUGAAAAGCAUGGGGGAGAGGACAGAACCCUGAGGCACCCCACAAGUGAGAGCUCAGGGGUCUGAACACUCAUCCCCCCCACCACUUUUUGAACACGGCUCAGGAGGAAGGAGCGGAACCACUGCAUGACAGUGCCCCCAACUCCCAGCCCCUCAACAGUCCAGAAGGAUGUUAUGGUUGAUGGUAUCAAACGCCGUUGAGAGAUCCAGCAGAACUAGGAAACAGCUCUCACCUUUGUCCCUAGCCCGCCAGAGAUGAUCAACCAGUGCGACCAAGGCAGUUUCAGUCCCAUGAUGAGGCCUGAAUCCUGACUGGAAGGGAUCCAAAUAGUCCGCUUCUUCCAG